CCGAGCUGCAUUGCUGUUGCAUUGCAUGUGUGUGAGCAGGUGCAGUGCCUCGGCAGUGCUGCCCGG
rnacentral:pre_miRNA from 1 species